AGUUGAGCGCUGAAGGUUGGUACUUGUACCAACUGGAUGAGCAGCGAACGGGUGAGUAACGCGUGGGGAAUCUGCCUUUGAGUGGGGGACAACAUUUGGAAACGAAUGCUAAUACCGCAUAAAAACUUUAAACACAAGUUUUAAGUUUGAAAGAUGCAAUUGCAUCACUCAAAGAUGAUCCCGCGUUGUAUUAGCUAGUUGGUGAGGUAAAGGCUCACCAAGGCGAUGAUACAUAGCCGACCUGAGAGGGUGAUCGGCCACAUUGGGACUGAGACACGGCCCAAACUCCUACGGGAGGCAGCAGUAGGGAAUCUUCGGCAAUGGACGAAAGUCUGACCGAGCAACGCCGCGUGAGUGAAGAAGGUUUUCGGAUCGUAAAACUCUGUUGGUAGAGAAGAACGUUGGUGAGAGUGGAAAGCUCAUCAAGUGACGGUAACUACCCAGAAAGGGACGGCUAACUACGUGCCAGCAGCCGCGGUAAUACGUAGGUCCCGAGCGUUGUCCGGAUUUAUUGGGCGUAAAGCGAGCGCAGGUGGUUUAUUAAGUCUGGUGUAAAAGGCAGUGGCUCAACCAUUGUAUGCAUUGGAAACUGGUAGACUUGAGUGCAGGAGAGGAGAGUGGAAUUCCAUGUGUAGCGGUGAAAUGCGUAGAUAUAUGGAGGAACACCGGUGGCGAAAGCGGCUCUCUGGCCUGUAACUGACACUGAGGCUCGAAAGCGUGGGGAGCAAACAGGAUUAGAUACCCUGGUAGUCCACGCCGUAAACGAUGAGUGCUAGAUGUAGGGAGCUAUAAGUUCUCUGUAUCGCAGCUAACGCAAUAAGCCUCCGCCUGGGGAGUACGACCGCAAGGUUGAAACUCAAAGGAAUUGACGGGGGCCCGCACAAGCGGUGGAGCAUGUGGUUUAAUUGAAGCAACGCGAAGAACCUUACCAGGUCUUGACAUACUCGUGCUAUUCCUAGAGAUAGGAAGUUCCUUCGGGACACGGGAUACAGGUGGUGCAUGGUUGUCGUCAGCUCGUGUCGUGAGAUGUUGGGUUAAGUCCCGCAACGAGCGCAACCCCUAUUGUUAGUUGCCAUCAUUAAGUUGGGCACUCUAACGAGACUGCCGGUGAUAAACCGGAGGAAGGUGGGGAUGACGUCAAAUCAUCAUGCCCCUUAUGACCUGGGCUACACACGUGCUACAAUGGAUGGUACAACGAGUCGCGAGACAGUGAUGUUUAGCUAAUCUCUUAAAACCAUUCUCAGUUCGGAUUGUAGGCUGCAACUCGCCUACAUGAAGUCGGAAUCGCUAGUAAUCGCGGAUCAGCACGCCGCGGUGAAUACGUUCCCGGGCCUUGUACACACCGCCCGUCACACCACGGGAGUUGGGAGUACCCGAAGUAGGUUGCCUAACCGCAAGGAGGGCGCUUCCUAAGGUAAGACC
rnacentral:rRNA from 1 species